UACGGAGGAUGCGAGCGUUAUCCGGAUUUAUUGGGUUUAAAGGGUGCGUAGGCGGGCUGUUAAGUCAGCGGUCAAAUGUCGGGGCUUCACCUUGAUUUGCCAUUAAUACUGUAAGACUCGAGUCCAGACGAGGUAGGCGGAAUAAGUUAAGUAGCGGUGAAAUGCUUAGAUAUAACUUAGAACUCCGAUAGCGAAGGCAGCUUACCAGACUGAGUCUGACGCUGAUGCACGAGAGCAUGGGUAGCGAACAGG
rnacentral:rRNA from 1 species